rnacentral:rRNA from 1 species
GAUGAACGCUGGCGGCGUGCCUAAUACAUGCAAGUAGAACGCUGAAGCUUGGUGCUUGCACCGAGCGGAUGAGUUGCGAACGGGUGAGUAACGCGUAGGUAACCCGCCUCUUAGCGGGGGAUAACUAUUGGAAACGAUAGCUAAUACCGCCUAAAAGUCGCUAUCGCAUGAUAUUGAUUUGAAAGGUGCAAUUGCAUCACUAAUGGAUGGACCUGCGUUGGAUUAGCUAGUUGGAGAGGUAACGGGUCACCAAGGCGACGAUACAUAGCCGGGCUGAGAGGGUGAGCGGCCAACCUGGGAACGGGACCAGGGCCAGGACCCCUCGGGGAGGAGCAGGAGGGGAACAUUGGCAAUGGGGGGAACGCCUGCCGAGGAACGGCGGGGGGGUUGAGGAGGGUUUCGGGGCGUAAAGGUCUGUUGUGAGGGGAGAAAGAGUGUGAGAGUGGAAAGUUCGCACUUUGACGUUACCUUACCAGAAAGCGACGGCUAACUACGUG